AACGUAGGUGGCAAGCGUUAUCCGGAUUUACUGGGCGUAAAGGGUGUGCAGGCGGGGUAGCAAGUGGUGUAUGAAAUCUCCAGGCUUAACCUGAAGGGGUUAUGCCAGACUGCUGCUCUAGAGGACGAGAGAGGGGGGUGGAAUUCCGGGUGUAGUGGUGAAAUGCGUAGAGAUCCGGGAGGAACCCCAGAGGCGAAGGCGGCCCCCUGGCUCGUACCUGACGCUCAGCCACGAAAGCAUGGGGAGCGAACGGGA
rnacentral:rRNA from 1 species